UCUUUCCAUCGUCUCACUCUGAAGCUCUUUCACUGCCGAGCUUAAAGAAAAAUAUUUUUCUUUUUAUCUCCCAAAUCCUCCGCUGUCUAAACCAACAGAUCUUCAUGAACAACAAUUCUCUUCUUCAUCUCUCCAGACUCCAAAUUUGUUAUGUUCGAUGGAGAAGACCAAUUAUCAUCCUCAGUUGAAUUCUCGAACAGUUGAAGCCGGAUUUGGUUAAGUUUCACCUUCACCAACAAUUGAAGGAUCGACUGAUUUCCCAGAAAGAAGGAAACCGCAAGUCUCAUGAAUCAAAGUAGUAAAGUAUUUAAAGCCUUAUCGUAAACGAUUUUAUCAUUUUUCUUCUUUAAAUUAUCAUUCUCGUUCGGAUCUUGAGCAUCAACUUCAUCAGGUAUAAUGUAUUGAAGCUUUUAUUUAUUUAUUAAGAUUUCAAUUUCUUAAUUUGGGCUAAGGGUUUUCAAAUAAUCUUUUAUAAUCGAUUUAAUGUUCUUAGGAUAUAUCUGUUGCUCUUGCUUGAUUUGGGAAUUUUUGAUUUGGGGACCAUGGAAAAAAACAACUUUACUGAUUUUGUUGUAGAGAUCUGAGACAUGGGUUUUCAACUUUCCUUCUCCUUUUCAUUUAGGGAUAUUCUUGAAUUGAUAGAGGUUCUGUAUUAAGUGGUUGUUACUGUUGUGUUGGUGUUUGUUGUUUAUAGAUUUUGGUGUUUGUGUGGUCUUCCAUGGUGAGUAUGAUAUGGUUUUAGAUCUGCUGGACUAUAUUCAUCCAAGCAUGUACCUUUAAAAGAUGUUAAACAGCUUGAUGUUGAGUUCCAUGUAUCCCUGUGGAACUUUGAGCUUUGUUUACUUUGUUUGUGUGUAUUUGUAGGAAGGAAUGUCGAUGGAAGGGAAAUUAUGGUUCUUGUGAAGUAUGAUCCCAAUGCUCAACGGCAAAAAUUUCAUAUCUGAGUCUACUAUGACCGAGUUCUCCGUUGUCGUAUAUAAGUAAGUCACAACCCUUGUCGAAGGUAUUGCUGAUUGUAAACCAUUCCAGUUCCAGGUCUCGUGACCAGCAUUUUGGUCGAGAUAGUAGAAGUAUGGGUCAGGAAUAAUAUGAUGACAGAUCUCGUGGGAGGUAUAAUCGAGAUUCACGCCACUGCGGUAGGCACCACAGUUUAAGUCCUGAUUACUGAAAUGGUGGUAGUCGAAGUCGAUAUGAAGAAGAAUGCAGAAGGAGCAUAAGCAAGUCAGCUGGCAGGUGGUACAUUUUAUACAUCUUGGAUUCUUGUCUUCUCUGUCUUUGCGUUUUAUAUUGAUAUCAGUGAUGUACCAACGAUGGUGCUACUAUACUGGAGAUGUUAGAAUUUGAACAUCCAGCUGCUAUAGUAAAGAUAGAGAGAAAAUGAGGAAUAAAAUACACCCAAUAUAUGUAAUCAGUGGAUAAGACUGGAUAAAGAGAUUAAGGACAUGUACAAAUAUGUGGAUUGUUCUUGACUAAAGGCCCCUCUCAUUUUCAAUGAUGUUUAUGAGAUAAUUAUGAAGGACUUCAAGAUGAGAUGGGAACAAAAGGAGUUUGAAAGGUGUUUCUUACGUGUUGAUGCGAUGCAGAAGACUAUUGGAAGUGUGAAGAUAUGGGAAAAGCUUAUAUAUAUGCCUUUUGUACUGAAAGUUGGAUCUUGAAUUAAUCUACAAAGUCUAAAUCCAUGGCUACGAAGACACCAAGCUGAUGAAGUUAUUCCCUGAAAAUUUUCGAAACAUCUGUGACUAGGACGUGCUUGCAGAUUAGUUCCGCUAAGGAUUAAACCCCAAGGGAAAACAAAGAUUUGUGAAAGCUCUGGAACUCAAUGGUUAACUGGCUGGAGGAGGCAGGAAAUGGUGCGGACAAUGAAUGUUACUAUUCAAGCCUGGAGGAGGCAGUGCUGCAGAGGACAGAUUACACUGGUUAGAACUACAAAUUACACUGGUUAGAACUGCAUAGGACAGAUUACACUGGUCAGAACUACAGAUUACACUGUCAGAAUUACAGAUUUUAAUCCUUUGUGUAAUUUGAAACCAAUGAAUCAAUGAAUGUUAAAUUGAUUGAUUAUUUGUGUGCAAGUUUAAUUUGACUCUCAUUUUUAUUUGA